rnacentral:rRNA from 1 species
UACGUAGGGUGCAAGCGUUGUCCGGAAUUAUUGGGCGUAAAGAGCUCGUAGGCGGUUCGUCGCGUCGGCUGUGAAAACCUGAGGCUCAACCUCAGGCCUGCAGUCGAUACGGGCGGACUUGAGUACUGCAGGGGAGACUGGAAUUCCUGGUGUAGCGGUGAAAUGCGCAGAUAUCAGGAGGAACACCGGUGGCGAAGGCGGGUCUCUGGGCAGUAACUGACGCUGAGGAACGAAAGCUAGGGUAGCGAACGGG